ensembl:lncRNA
AUGGAAGAACAGCGCCCCAGGAGACAUCAGGCUCGUCCUGCCCAUCUUCGAGAAUAUGACUUAAGUGACUAUCUCCCCCGGAGUAGAUCAUCACUUCCCAGAUCAGCUCACACUCCCCCGCCACGUCUGAGAGACGAGGAGGAGCCCGGCGGGGCUCAUGGAUCUCCUCGAUCUGAAUCUCCUGUCACUCAGGAUAGUUUCCAGUCUGGUUGGGACAUCAGAGAUCGAUGGGAAGAGGACACCGAGAUGUUGCAGCAGGAGAAUAAAAGAUUGAGAAGCGAGCAGGAAGCUUUGCUGGAGGCGUUGGACCAGUUGCGACUGCAGAAUGCAGAGCUGGCUAAAAAAAGUGACCAGAGAAUGGGCCAGCUCCCCCCCCAGGCUACAACUGAGACAGAGCAGUUACGUGAGCAACUCAACCAUCUCAGCAGUGUUAUUACUCAGUUGCAGAGUGCAUAUGACCCACGACCUCCUCAACAGUUAGAGCAGGAGGACCAGUCUGAUAAGCUGGAUCGGCCAGGCAUUCCAGGCCAUCACAGUGGAUCGGAGUCUGAUGGUGGCAAGAAACUGCAUGCAGCUUCAACCCGAGGAGUUAAGGGACACAUCCUCCCAGGACUUAAUAUGACAAUGCCAUACGAGGGGGCUCUGCGGGAACCUGUUAGGCAGCCAGAUUCAGGUUGGCAGCACCCUUUAGAACAUACAGUACCACGCCGGCAUUCUCCUGAAAGGUACGCUGUUCACUCCAGACACCUUACCCGUCCUUCGGAGAGGAUGGCAGCAGCAGUAUCGGACACCCAGCACUCUCGACAAAGAAGUUGUGAUUACUCACCUGAGGGUUUCACCUUGUCAGAGAGAAAACAGCAUGUAGCAUCGUUGGGUCACCCUCGCAGUUUGGACAGGGAUUAUUACUGUUGCCCAGAGCAGCCAGCGGGAGGUGGGGAUGGCCCCCAUCGUGAUUACGGGUCGCAUUACCAGCCCCCUCCAAGACCCGCGCAUUCAGAGUACUAUUCAUACCCUAGAUCCCGGCAGCCGAGCCCGGUGGGGGGUCAGGAGAGCUACUAUAGGGGGCCAGCACCUACAAUCCCAGAUUUCGUACACCCAAACCCACGAGAGUUUGCAAGGCUGAGGAUCGCAUUGGAAAAUAUCCUCCCAGCAGACGCAACAGAACGGUUCAAGUUCCAGAUACUGGUAGAUCAUCUUAAGCUAGAGGAGGCCCUGCUUAUUGCUGACUCCUAUAGCCAUUCCAGGCACCCUUACACCAGCACAAUGGAUGCCCUAAACAAGGAAUAUGGACAGCCGCAUCAACUGGCACUCCAGCGUAUCGCAGAGUUAAUGGACGGGGCACCUGUUAUGUCAGGAGAUACCAAGACCUUCAGGACGUUUGCACUAAAGGUACGCUCCCUGGUCAGCAUGCUUGCACAAUUAGGAAGGAAAGGAAUUGUCGAGCUGGAAUGUGGGUCCCACGUGUCAAGGUUGCUUGAAAAACUGCCGCAUGAUUUGAGGUCCAGCUUCCGUCGGUAUAUUCAUCCUCAAGACAUUCCCAUUCCUACACUGACUGACUUCUCAGAUUGGCUUGAAUAUGAGCUGCAGGUGCAAGUCGACACGGCACGGUUCAGCUCGAAGAGAGCAGCGUUUCCAAGAGGAGAGGAAAGGAGGAAGUUC